rnacentral:rRNA from 1 species
GAUCCUGGCUUAGAGUGAACGCUGGCGGCGUGCUUAACACAUGCAAGUCGAACGGAUGAAAUAAGCUUGCUUAUUUCGUUAGUGGCGCACGGGUGAGUAAUGUAUAGCUAACCUGCCCUUUAGUGGGGGACAACAGAUGGAAACGUCUGCUAAUACCCCAUACUCCUGCGUAUCAUAAGAUAUGUUGGGAAAGAUUUAUUGCUAAAGGAUGGGGCUUUAUGGUAUCAGCUAGUUGGUGGGGUAACGGCCUACCAAGGCAAUGACGCCUACCUGGUCUGAGAGGAUGAUCAGGCACACUGGAACUGAGACACAGUCCAGACUCCUACGGGAGGCAGCAGUGGGGAAUAUUGCACAAUGGGGGAAACCCUGAUGCAAGCAACGCCGCGUGGAGGAUGACGCAUUUCGGUGUGUAAACUCCUUUUAUAAGGGAAGAUAAUGACGGUACCUUAUGAAUAAGCACCGGCUAACUCCGUGCCAGCAGCAGC